CACGUAGGGGGCAAGCGUUGUCCGGAUUUAUUGGGCGUAAAGAGCUCGUAGGCGGUUCGGUAAGUCGGGUGUGAAACCUCCAGGCUCAACCUGGAGACGCCACCCGAUACUGCUGUGACUAGAGUCCGGUAGGGGAGCGUGGAAUUCCAGGUGUAGCGGUGAAAUGCGUAGAUAUCUGGAGGAACACCGGUGGCGAAGGCGGCAUCCUGGACCAACACUGACACUGAGGAGCGAAAGCCAGGGGAGCAAACGGG
rnacentral:rRNA from 1 species